AGUGAGAAAGUGAGGAUAUUUAUACUAUUUGAAUUAUUACUUGAUAACAUGUCAACUUGUGUGUAUGUGUGUGUGUGUGUUCGUACCUGUGCGUGUGAGGGUGUGGAGGUAGCGCUUGUUAGGGUGGGGGAGGUCGGGCAGCCGCAGUGUUUUGGCCGUCGCUGGUCAGUCUUGCCCCACACAUUCUGGUAAUAAGUGCUCCAGUAUUCCCGGCAGCUUCUUGUACCAAGCACCACCACGCAGCACCAGAGACAUGAGUACGUAAGCUUGUUCCCACUCGGCCCCGUUUACCACUGCCAGCGAGAGAGAGAGAAAGGUGCUGAUAUCUCCGGUGAAGGAAUGAAGGUGUGAGGUGUGUCAUCUCUUCGCCAUCCCAUGAACAGCCACACCAGGCCUGAUGUACUCCAUUGCAGUCAGGGCCUAGUCCAGUUUCAUCAGGAAAAGAGGCCGAGCCGAGCAUCGCCGCCUUCAGGCCCCACAAGAGGUGCAAAGGGCCUGGUACGUGAGUUUUCAUUGCAAUCAAGGAAGAGUCAAGUUGCAGCAAGAAGAGUGUAAGUGAAGAAUUUUAAGUAGGGGAAAGACUGUCCAGCAGUUAACGGCAGGAAGACGCGUGAAAUUCCCUUCGAAUUGUGGUUGGGCCAACAAGCAACCGUCAAGGCUUCCAGAGGCACAAGAGUUUUCGGAGUUUUCACCAGGAAGACUUCGUUCCUCAAUCAAGCUGACACAAGGACACAAGAAUUGGAAAGUGUUGCUUCUUCCAGGCCCUGCUGCAAGUUCUCCAGUGCACUCCAGUCUGGGUCUGGGAAUGAAGAGUGUAACAAGCCCCUCUUCUGUACUCAACAAGCACCACCACCACCUUCAUUCAGGCUUGGAAUAAGUUUUGUACAUUCCAGCACUUCAGUAAUAAGGGAAACAAGUGACAUGUUUAUUAUAUCAUGUUGUGUAUUACUCACUGACAUACACUGGAAAGAUGCAGUAAAACAAUAAAAAUUCAACAUGCCA